UACUUUAUCUUCAUCGUAUUGAACCACAACCCAAUUCUUAAGGCCUCGCCUUUAGUCGGGUGUUUGCUUCUUGCGAAGUGAUCCAAUCGAUCGAAGAUUUAGGUUUAUGAUAGGUUAAUUAUUUUUAGUACAGUAUUCCAUACUAAGUUGUUUUCGUGUACGGGUAGGAAGUCUGGAGAUAUCAAACACAUUUAUUAAAAAAAAAUCAUCUUUAUAAUAUCUUCUGAAAUAAAAUUAAUUUAACAUGUUAGAUAAGCAAACAACAUAAACGUUUAUCGUACAUUUUGUUUCAUCGAAGGAUGAAUUUUACUCAACCAUAUCUUUCACUUCAUGAUCACACCGGAGGAGAAAGAAGGGAAACGGAAAUAAAUUUCAAUAAACUUCACCAUCUUUACAUCUCACUGUGCAUUCUGCCACGUACAGACCAAUUGGCCAGCCCUGCGCUAGUGGUCGAAUGCAAUCAAAAUGGUAAUAGAGUUCGAUUGUUGCAGU